rnacentral:rRNA from 1 species
AGUGAACGCUGGCGGUAGGCCUAACACAUGCAAGUCGAACGGCAGCACAGGAGAGCUUGCUCUCUGGGUGGCGAGUGGCGGACGGGUGAGGAAUACAUCGGAAUCUACUUUUUCGUGGGGGAUAACGUAGGGAAACUUACGCUAAUACCGCAUACGACCUACGGGUGAAAGCAGGGGAUCUUCGGACCUUGCGCGAUUGAAUGAGCCGAUGUCGGAUUAGCUAGUUGGCGGGGGAAAGGCCCACCAAAGCGACGAUGCGUAGCUGGUCUGAGAGGAUGAUCAGCCACACGGGAACUGAGGCACGGUCCAGACUCCUACGGGAGGCAGCAGUGGGGAAUAUUGGACAAUGGGCGCAAGCCUGAUCCAGCCAUACCGCGUGGGUGAAGAAGGCCUUCGGGUUGUAAAGCCCUUUUGUUGGGAAAGAAAUCCAGCUGGUUAAUACCCGGUUGGGAUGACGGUACCCAAAGAAUAAGCACCGGCUAACUUCGUGCCAGCCGCCGCCGUAA